UACUUAAGCAAAACAAUAUAACACCAGAUUACUAACAAUUAUGUACUUUAAACUCAAAGAAUUUGGCGGUGUUUUAGUCUUGUUAGGGGAACCUGUUCCUUAAACGAUAAUCCACGUAAAAUCUUACCUGUUUUAGUAUAGCCUGUAUACCGUCAUUAAGAUAACUUUUACAAAACAAGUUAUUAAAAUAAAAUAAACCCUUAAAAUGUUAGAUCAAGGUGCAGCAAAUAGACAGGUCCGAAUGGGUUACUAUAGUCCCACGACCCAUGAAUAAAGCCAAGAAUUUGGCUUUUGAAAAAGGACUUAAAAGUAAAAUAACUUWAAUAAGAUAACUUGAUUUUAGCUCUAAA
rnacentral:rRNA from 1 species